CAGACGCCUGUGAAGCUUUUCCUUAAGACGAGGAGACCUGUUUCACUCGUUUACCUGCCGAAGCCUUUGCAUUUCUUCCUUUUGGGAAAGCGCAGUAGGAGCUGUAAGAAGUUCGGUCGGCUGGCCACCAUCAGCAACUUACUCUCACAAUGGUUAAGUCAGCAGUGAUUGAGACAACAGAGCCCAGAUAUUGACAAAGGCUUGAAACCAGUUGUCUCAGCCUGAUGAUAACCUGAAGGAGCCUGAACAGACACAUUUCUGCUCACUUAGAAGUUUGUAGGCAUUCAGACAUGUACUUCCAUAUGACCUCUGACCACCUAGCAGAUUGUUUGAGGGCUAUGGAAGCCAGAGGACCAUCGCCAUGUGGAAGAACCCUGCCUAACUGACAUCCAGAACUCGGAGUGGCUCCAGUAGAAGAUACUACAGCCUUGACCUGCCUCCACCAGGCCUUGCCUUGUGUCAUGGCUUUGAGAGGUCAUGCACAACUGGCAGCGUCCACACCGGAGUGAAGCUUUCUUUAAAUGCCUUCACGUUUUGGAAUACCAAGAGUGCCUUAAGCCGUUGGUGCCGAGCUUCAGGACAUGGAUCUGUGGCUGUCCUCAAGAGGAUUGCACCUGCUGAUGUGCUGAGGGUGUGAAGCAGCUGAGAAGCUUCUGGGGGACAGCCUGGGGCGCUGCAGACAUCUGCAGAGGCACCUCUGUUAUCAGCACAUUUCUCCCCUCCGCAUGGCGCCCUGCUUCCCAAAUCCAGGAUCAUCAGGAAGGUGUAUUGUGUAGCUUUAGCUCUGCUUUGGGGGAAAGUUCCUCCAAAGCUGGCAUGUGGGCUGAGCACCGGAUCUGCCAGGAGCACUGGGUGGAACCCUUCCCAGCAUAAAGGAAGAUGCUUGGAGGGACUCCAGAAGGUGUAUUGGGCACCUGCAGAGUUUGCCAUGGACCAAGAUGCCUGCACACAGCCACAUCUCAGACACAUGGAGCAGCCUCUCUGGGGCAGGAGGGACCAGGGAACAGACCUCAGUGAUGGCUGCCUCACCCACAAGCAGGACGGGGCGCUCGUGCUUCUACAGCAAUACAUGGAAGAUUUUGUUUGUUUAAUUCUCCUGCGAGGCUGUUAUAUGUUUCUCCCAAGUGAAGGACCUACCAGAAGCCUCCCUUGGAAGAGUUAAGGAGACACUAAUUAAAAGUAUUCUGUAUGUCCCUGAUGAGGGACUGUUGACAAAGAAGAGCUAACUCCACGAGUCACUGGAGCAGCUCCUUACAAAGAUGCAAGAUGUAGCACAUCUGUUCUGGAAAUCACCUUCAUUCCUGAAAGACCACCGCUUCCCUCCAAGAGACACAACAGAGGGCACCAAGAGGAACAGUGAGCCUCCAUUUCCUCAGAUGCUACUUUUUUUUUCUGGAUGAGGAGGUGAGCUCGAGCCUCUCCCUGGAAGAGAGGGCUGGCAGCAGCGCUGAGCUGGGAUGUGGAGGCUGCAUAGGGGCCCAUUGGCUGAAGGUCAAGACUUCUCCUUGAAGGCACCUGAACCAGAGUCACGUUCCCCAUCUUUGCAGAACCCAUGCUGUCCGCCUCUGGGAGGCAGCAAGUGGAAGAUCCUGGAUUGUGGAGGACUAAUGCUUCCAGGCAAGCAAAGCCUGCAGCAUCCUUUUGUUCUUGGUGAAUUCAUUGGGCGCUGCACUGACUCAGCCUUUUACUCAAAGACACUGUGCCUAUACCAGCAGAGCCACCUGAGCCAUCGGCCAUCACCCAGCAGGGAAGGGAUCCCAGGCAGCUUGUCAGGCAUGUCGUGGUGGUCCUGUGUGUGUUCUGCCUCCCAAGAGGAAGAAGUUUGGGUUGCAGUACCAGAGCUGUGGGACGAGCUUCGCUCAAGCCAGCAAGCAGUGCCCACCUAGUCCCUGGAGAGCUGGUAAGCAGUUAGCACUUGCUAAGCGGAUAUUGCUUCAUCUUCUGUUAUUACUUGUGUUUCCUAGGUCAAACUGACACCAACUGGUCUGCUAGAGCCACAUCAGAGAACCUAUCCAGAGUCUCUGAAGAGCUGCUAAACUGUAAGGAUGUGCAAAACCCAUAUUCCUAUGACUGCCAGUUUGCUAGGGCAAACUGACACUGAUCUGCAGAGAGGAGCUGUGGGCACACCUCUGUUUUACUUUGGAGGAAUAUCCUCUAUCACUCCAGGCCUUAAUUCCUCAUCAGUGAUGAACUUGUGGUGGAAUCCACUGACUGUAGCUCUGUGAUUUGGUGUGGUGGAAAAGCACAGGCCCCAAGGCACGUUGGAAUUGUCAUGUUCUGCUAUAAGAACCAAAGAUACAAAAGUGAUAUUAUUGGCAGCUUAGCUGACUGGGUGAGCCCUACAAAAUUCCUUUGAUGUUUUAGUCUUAUUUGAUAGGAAUAGGGCCAGAUUAAAAAAACUCCAGUCUUCCAAAUCCUAAAAUGCAAAAACAAAGCGUUGGACCCUUUCAUUUCCUUCACAGUUCAGAGUCUGCAAGGAAAAUGAUUUGAAGCAUUUCCUUCUUCUAACACCAAAACAGAGCCUGGCUUUUACAUAAAGAGAAAACUGUUUCUGUUGAGUGCUGAGAGCUGUGCUUUUCUAUCACACUGUUUCACAGAACAAGAAGAUACAAAUCAAUAGGGAAAUGUGAAGUUGCAGUACUAUAAUUUCUGUAUCUGCUUUUCCUAUGAUUAUGAUAGGACACAUCUCUUACUUGCCCCUGUAAGAUUUAUUUUUUUCUCCCCAGCCCUUUUCUUAUAUUUCUGUAGUCCCCUGAAUGUAAUCUGCUGCCCUGAGUCAUAUUAAAAAAAACACAUUGACUUGAAAGGAAAACGUUCGGUUCUUCAAUGUGUGGAAAAAUAUUUCUGUUGUUUAAAUGCAAGUAAUUAAACUGAGGACUUUCUCCAAAGUAAACCUUGACAAUCUAACAACCAUCUUUGGCUUUUGCACCGCAUGGAGUUUCUUUUACAUUUUUAAAUGCAUUCCUUGUUUCAGUAAAUGACACCAGGCUCACCAGCAGUGACUGAGUGAUUAGUUUAUCAUCCUCUUAGUGCAGCCAUCUAGAUCUUUAACUCUUUAAGCAGUGGCAUUUAAGACUUGAGAACACCCAGGAACACGCCUGAGGCUUUAGGCAUUCUCAAUUCAAGCAAAUCUUGGAUAUCAGGUGAAAACGAAUAAAAGAAAGUAGAUGGGCGUACUCUGAUAACGCUUUAAACAAGUCAGGUAAGCUAAAUUGCAAAUAAACAGCAGGCUUUUUAAAGAGGAAGCCAAUUCCCCUUUCCUGGGACCACUCGGGUCAUCAGGUGUCUGAGCAGCAUAAAAUUACGUGGAGAAAAAUCUCCCGACCUACAAAGGGAGCAAAGGAUGACAGUGCAUUUCCCAAUGCUGUGGGGCAGGGCUUUUCUCUGGAUUUACUGCUCGUUUCUUAUGGUGCAGUCAAAACAACCAUUUUACAACAGUUCUGGUUGUAACAAGUGUAUGUGAGCUGAAACGUACUGCACUGAUGCCCUGUGCUGUAAUCAUGUCCAUGCAGAGCUGCAGCAACAAGAGAAGGAAGAAGGAAGGGCCUCUUCUUACUUCAGAGCAGGAAGGUGGGGAUGGACGUUCAGACAGAGGGAAAGGACUGACCUGUGGGCUGCUGACCAGCUGUGCCUGCUGCUGAGCAUCGUGGAUCUGCACCUAUCAUCCGAUCCUGCUCAGUAACGCGAGCCACAUCACCAUGUGUGCCCUCUGCCAUGGGAGACACGGAGCUGCUCGCCCCGUGAAGGCCAAGAGCUCUGGGAUCUCUGUAGCUGGUAGAGCCAGGACUGUGGGAAUGCAGCACCGAGCCCAGAGCUCAGCUUUUAGCUAUUUAUUUUAUUUUAAAAAAUGCUUUUGUAGUUUCGUCCGCUGCCUGUGGUCGGUUGUUUUGUUUUGUUUUCUUUUGUUUUGUUUUGUUUGCAGGCUGGACUUGGAGUUUUGCUGUUUGGGGAGAAAGGAGUUUUUGCCCAGCAGGGCAGAAUGAGCCUGUGUGGAUGCUGCUCAGUGAGAUAAAUUCUCUGCAUCCUGAAGAAUGUUGAGUGCAUUGGGAGCUACCUCUGAAAGAGCAGAGCUGUCUCCUGCAAGCACAGACCAGUUAGGUCUCCAGUUUUCUGGUGACCCUUCUGUUGCCUGCAGGCUGCAGCCAUUCUCAACACUGUAAAUACCUUCAGACAUCCGCUUCAAGCAUGCUUCCCUACCAGAAGCUGUGAUGAAGGUGAUCCAGUCAUGCCUUCUGUUUCAUGGUUCCUCCUCUGGGGUUGUCUCAUUUUGGGCUCUUGGUGGCUUACCAACAGGGGAACCUCUGGAAAAAGAAGUCACUGCUGUUUUGUGAUUUGGAUCCGUAUUUGGAUCCGCUGUCCCUGACUCAAGUCAACACUCAGUGGCUCUAAACUCUCUUCACUUCCUCAUUCUGUCCUCCGCUCUCCAACCGUGUGUCUUAAUCCACUUAAUUUCCUCCUUGGAGUCCCUCAAGUCCCAAACCCACUCGGCCCCAAGUGUCCUUGCUAUGCUCAGCCUGGUUUGAAGUGGAAGCAGCAGAACCCUCCGCCCUGCUUUGCCUCUGCGCCUCCUCAGGGAUGAGCACAGAGGGUGGGAAGAGGCAGCAACCAGCAGGGCAGAGGUGGGACGAGCAGGAAUGUGGGGUGAGACCAAAGAGAUCCUCAGGGAAAUUGCUGCAGCUGCCUUGUUCUGCUUUUUGUGACUCAAAGUGCUACACCAGUGUGCCCAGCUGGCUGCUGCUGUGAAGCAUGAGUGUCACACUGAGAGUGGGCACAACGCAAAUGGAAAAUGCUGCUUUAAACUCUUAUCUUAAGCCAUCUGUUCAACACCCGAGCUCGAAGCCUGCAUCCUUCCAGGUCUGUGAUGCCAUGCACCUGCCGGCUGCAUCGCUCACAGUUGUCUUUGCAGAGCAGCACAAACCUGUUGUGACACCUUGGUGCCUUUGGCUUCGCUCCCAUUUUCUAGAAUUGCACUUGGCCUUGCUUUGGCCCUCUGCCCAGCCUGAAUUUGCCUUCUUGGUUUUCACUUAUUUCCCAUAUCACUUUUCUCUCCUGCUUCUCCUCAGGGAUCUGGCUGCAAACCCUUGUGCCCAGGUGGGUGUGCAGCACCUCCCUCCCAGGGUCCCUUCAUUUAUAACAGAGAGAUGUGCGAUGUUUGCAGUUUUUCUUCCUUCUUCAAACUGAAUUUUAGAUAGUUCUCCUAAAUGUCUUUCUUCUCUCUUUUCCUGGAACAGUCCCUCGGUUUUCUUUCUCUGUGAGCUGUAUUUUAAAAAUAAAACAAGUAGACCCUGCAAAUGGCCCUGAUUAAGAAGCCUGGUUUGCCUGUGGGAUCAGACAGGCACGGUACACACGUACAGCAAUGGUUUGCCCACAUCAUUUGGAUUAGGUAUCAGAGAGCACAGACUGCCUUUGCACUGAAGUCUGCAGGUCAAGGAGUUGGCCUCUCUUCGGCCCACAGGCCUUGUGGCUGCCAGCCCAUAAGCUAAAGCCCAUCUCUGAAAGAUGCUGGAAACCCAGCUCAGACAACAAUGUGUUUAGUUCUUCCUUUCCAGGCAUGUUCAUUUUUUGCUUCUUGCUUACAGGGAAGAUUUUGCUUCCGUCUCCCAGCAAUGUUUCCCUUCUGCUCUUCUUCUCAAGCCAGUGCGACAAAAGGAGAGCCAGCCCUGGUUGUUCUCCAAGAGCUGAGUGGUGAGGAUGUCCCUCUGUGAUGUGUGGGGCAAUGCAUACCCUGAUAGCAGCAAAACUGUUGUUUCAUGGGCCAUAAACAAGAUCUUAUCCAACAAUCUUGUAUGAUGUAGCUCUCCCAGUAUUCUCACGGGGACUGAAAUGCUGUGAGAGCCUUCUGUGUGCUGGGUUGUGGCACUGGGUGGCACUGAUCUAUCGGGUGGCAAGCAGCCCACAGCAGGAGGGAUGGAACUGGAUGAUCUUUAAGGUCCCUUCCAACCUGAGCCAUGCAGUGACUCUACGUCUUGUUCAGAACUGACGUGUGGUUUUGCUUCAUUUCUGAGGAUGGUUCAAAGUGCUCUCCUUCCCAGAUGGAGACUCUGACAUGCCUUUAAUUCUAAUCUUCUCCUUUCCUAAUUUUUUUUAAUCACCCUUCACGGUUAAGCAUAUAAUUAACCAGUUGGAUAAAGUAGGUUUGUGGUGUCACAGAGUCACAAAGCUGAAGCUAGAGCUUCUGAAGUCCAAAUCAACUCCUUCAUCAUCAGACCUGCCUUCCUGCAGGCACGCCAGCACUUGCAGCGUGGCCCAGAACCUCUCGCCUUUGAACUUCCCAGCUUUAGGCUGCUGACUCAGCGUCUGUGCGUGAUGGAAGCAGUGAAGGGGGAAACAGGUGUUGUCUCAGAACCGAAGAGGACAGAGCAGGUAACAGUAAGUAAGAACACUUCUACCUUGAGAAUAAACCCAGAGAACACCUCACUCCUUAGCUCACUUCAUCGGUAAUAAAACGGUCCUGUUGCACUGCAGUGAAGUGGGUCCUGCUAGAAAGUUAUUGUCAGGAAGGACUGGAAGUACUUGUAGUUCCUUCCUUCCCAUCUGCCUGUUUCAGAAGGACUAAACUUGUAGGGUACUUGGAGUGAACUGCGUUGACCUGACAAAUGUGUUGCACUAACAUGGAUUGCUUUGCACUAGAGUAAGCUUGAGUGAAGACCUUACUGCACUGAGCAUGAUUUAGCCAAGUGUGAUGGAUUUGUGUUUACGUGUUCGUGUGUGUUUAUAACCACAUGCAUGGCUAUAAAGGUACAUGGGAUAUUGAGUUGAAGUAGGACAGAACUAACAAAGCCAAUAUAACCUGCAGCCUCAUUUAGAUGGCCAUGGAGAGGCAGCCUUUCUUCCUGAAGUGAUUUUUCUCAUCACAUGUCUGUGGGAAGCUGAUGCUCUCAUACACAUUCGCUAUGAAAGCCUAUUUGAUGAGUACUUUCUAUGAAUGACCCUUGAUGUGCUCAUGGUGAGCACUUAGUCACCAGGCAGGUGGUGCAAAUGAGCCCCACCAGCCUCCUGUGGCUGGAGAUGGAAGCCACAAGCUGUUCCCGUGUUCUCCACCUCCAGGCAGAUGGGAAUCCCUAAAAGGAUUUCUCUUCUCUAAUUUCAGGAGAGGACAGUCACAGUCAUGAGUCUGAAAUUCAUAGAUGUGCUGGCAUUUCCAGGCACUUACAAUAAUGCUCACUGCUAAACUCCUCUGCUGCUGAAAACCAAGUAGAACGUGUUUAGUGCUCUAAACAAACUCAUCUAGCAAAUUCAAGCAUGUCCUCCUAGAAUUAUUUUUGCAGCAGUUGUCCUGCUCUGCUUAUUUAUGCCUUGUGCUAGCAUUUGAAAUCAUUAAAGCCAUAAUUAAUUAAUCAUUAAUAUUAGCGCUGGAGACUCUGAAGUGGUGUGGAUGCUGAGGGAGAUGCCAGCAUUGUGGUGUUCUCAAAACGUAUUUGUGGCUCAACCAAUCUGAAAUGAGCCUUCUUCUCUUAUGGCCUUACAGUGUUCCUUAGGAAAACGAUGGUUUUGUGGAUGCUCAUCCCUGGAGGUGUUCAAGGCCAGGUUGGGAGGCCCUGGGCAGCCUCAUCUGGUGUCUGUGUAGUUUAUGGCAACCCUGCCUGUGGUAUGGGGGCUGGAACUGGAUGGUCUUUGGUGGUGAUGGGUUGGCAGCUGGACCUCAAAGAUCACCUUAGAAGUCUUUUCCAGCCUUAAUGAUUGUAUGAUCCUGCAAAUACAUCCCUCACCUUCUGGAGGUCCCUCUCGCAUCUCAAGGAUGAGGCUUUGAUUGAAUGGGAAGCAAAUGUAGGCUAAAAGCAAUGAUUAUUUCCAGAACGUGCAUGAGAAUAUGGAUUUUCCUCUGGUAACAGUCAUCAAUCAGUGUACAAACGAUUUUACAACACGUGGCUUCAGUCACAGAUUCACAUUGUUGGGGUUGGAAGGAGCCCUUAAAGGUCAUCAUGUUCAACUCCUCUGCAGUGCACAGGGGCACCCACAGCUCCAUCAGUGCUCAGUGCCCCAUCCAGCCUGCCCUUGGGUGUCUGCAGGGAUGGGGCAUCCACUGCCUCUCCAAGCAACCUGUGCUGGAGUUGUUUGUAGCACAGGUCAGGAGACUUUCCAUAACAUACCACUAGAAUGGCUUUAGCUUUAUUUUGUGAUUUGUACUGCUGGAGCACUUCCCCAGGACCCAGGCCUCCUUGUUUCCAUGCACUGCCCAAGAAUCUCAGAAGGGACAGCACUGAACUGAAGGGGCCUUGCGUUGUAACUGGAGCAGAUGGACGACGUGUGUACAAAAAGGAAGGGGUGAAAUUCCCAGGUUUGCUCAGUCUGAAUGUUCUCCCUGCAUGGGAUGGUCGUCCUUUUUGUAGACUUUGCAAAACGAUAAAAAUCAGCCUUAAAACUUAAGAAUAGAGGAAAGUAAAGCUGCAGUGAGCUCCAAGCUGGGCCUGAUCCUGUGUUCCAUGAGAGGUCUGGCUUUCUGUUCUCAAGAAAAGGCAGGAAGCACUGGUGGGACAGCCCAGCUCUGAAGCGUUCAGAGCAAUAACAAAAAUUUCAGUGUGGCAAUAAAAGCUGUUCCCUUCACCACUGCAGCAGCUGUGCUUGUUUCCAUCGGCUGCAUUCAGGCUCUUCAGCAAGGAGCUGCUUUGGAAAAUGUAAUCCCUCGGAGUUGUUUGUUCAGUGCCUUUGCCUUAAUGGACCAGCUUAGGCAGUUGAAAGGAGGGGGUAGGAGGGAGUCGAUCUCAGCACACUUAUGGGCAUCCCCUCCUGUAAUUCAUGUCAUUACAACUUCUCUGAUAUAUAACUUUAUUUACUUAUUUACAGCUUUAGGCUUGUUUCUGCUCUAGCACAAAUCUGGUGAGACAAGGGUGGGGUUUUUUUGGGGGGGGGUUUGAUUUUCUUUC